CUGAUUUUUUGUUUUCUUUUACUCUUCUCAAGUACGGUAUUGUUUUUUUUUUAACUUCUCUGUCUGCGGUCACACUGCGGUUAGUACCAAAACAAAUGCCGUUCGGAGAAGUUGUACGCGUGCCUGUGUAACGCCGCAAGCGUUGUGGAAAAAAGUGUUUGUGAGAAUUUCGUUUUACUGUGCAAAACCAGUAACAAUAGCACAAAACCAAAAUAAAAAGUGAAAAGAAAAAAAGUAUAUAUAAAUAAAAAAUAAAAAAAUAAAAAAAAAAAACAACAGCAACAAAAAGCGGCGUUGUGCAAUAAUAUUACCGUUCUCGUUAUUGUGCAAAUAUAUUUUAUAAAUCCACUUUUACAACAA